GAGUGCAUGAUCAGCUCAUGACCAUCCUUAAGAUACACCCUCAGGGGGAAGGGGGGAUUUCCAGGUGCCUUUAUAAGCUCUGUAACACAAAAGGUACAGUGCAUUUUCGUAUAUGGCCAAACUGAGCAAAGUAUGUCCUCAGCUCACUCGACGCCGCGGUCCAAGGAAUUCUACGGAUAAAAGCAACCGACGGAGCCAGCGUCAUUCCGCGUCUCACUGCCGAGGCAGCCAUGUUGAG